rnacentral:tRNA from 1 species
CAGUAGAUAGUUUAUAAAAAUUUUAAUUUUGGGGAUUAAUGAUGAGUUUAAGGCUCUUUACUGA